rnacentral:lncRNA from 1 species
UGGAGACACACUCUCCAGGAAACUUUCUCAUUUACCCCACCCCACCCCUUCUGGAGAAGAUUACCCUCCAGAGCCACUGCUGCCCCUCAGGGCACAGCCAGAGGCUAACGUCAAGGGGUCACAAUUGCUCUGACUUUCACCUAAAUGAAGACCUGGGGGACUCAUGUUUCAGGAGAAUUUAGAACCUGGUGACCAACUCCCAGUCUUCUCUAGGCUGAGAGCCACCCCACACCCUAAAGAGAGACUCCUUGACCUCAGGACCCAUCCAGGACAGCUCUUUGUUCCCCAUCCUUUCCAAGGGUCAGAAACUGGGGCUCCACUGACCAAACAAUGCCAGGCCUGUCUCCUCCACCUCAGCCACAAAGGACCAGGAUGUCCUCCUUCAGCAUGCCUGACCCACAAAAGGAAUGCUAGCAAGUGA